AUUGAACGCUGGCGGAAUGCUUUACACAUGCAAGUCGAACGGCAGCACGGACUUCGGUCUGGUGGCGAGUGGCGAACGGGUGGGUAAUGUAUCGGAACGUGCCCAGUCGUGGGGGAUAACGUAGUGAAAAUUACGCUAAUACCGCAUACGAUCUAUGGAUGAAAGCGGGGGAUCGCAAGACCUCGCGCGAUUGGAGCGGCCGAUAUCAGAUUAGGUAGUUGGUGGGGCAAAGGCCCACCAAGCCAACGAUCUGUAGGUGGUCUGAGAGGACGAACAGCCACACUGGAACUGAGACACGGUCCAGACUCCUACGGGAGGCAUCAGUGGGGAAUUUUGGACAAUGGGCGAAAGCCUGAUCCAGCCAUUCCGCGUGCAGGAUGAAGGCCCUCGGGUUGUAAACUGCUUUUGUACAGAACGAAAAGGUUUCUACUAAUACUAGGAGCUCAUGACGGUACUGUAAGAAUAAGCACCGGCUAACUACGUGCCAGCCGCCGCGGUAA
rnacentral:rRNA from 1 species